rnacentral:rRNA from 1 species
AUACGUAGGUGGCAAGCGUUGUCCGGAAUUAUUGGGCGUAAAGCGCGCGCAGGUGGUUCCUUAAGUCUGAUGUGAAAGCCCCCGGCUCAACCGGGGAGGGUCAUUGGAAACUGGGGAACUUGAGUGCAGAAGAGGAUAAUGGAAUUCCAAGUGUAGCGGUGAAAUGCGUAGAGAUUUGGAGGAACACCAGUGGCGAAGGCGACUGUCUGGUCUGUAACUGACACUGAGGCGCGAAAGCGUGGGGAGCAAACAGGAUUAGAUACCCUGGUAGUCCACGCCGUAAACGAUGAGUGCUAAGUGUUGGGGGGUUUCCGCCCCUCAGUGCUGCAGCUAACGCAUUAAGCACUCCGCCUGGGGAGUACGGUCGCAAGACUGAAACUCAAAUGAAUUGACGGGG